GACGAACGCUGGCGGCGUGCCUAAUACAUGCAAGUCGAACGCAGUGGGGACGGGUGAGUAACACGUGGGUAACCUCCCAUCAGAGGGGAUAACACUUGGAAACAGGUGCUAAACCGAUACUGAUGGAUGGACCCGCGGUGCAUUAGCUAGUUGGUGAGGUAACGGCUCACCAAGGCCACGUUGAAUACCCGCCCUGAGAGGGGGAUGGGCCCCAAGGGGAAGGAGAAACGGCCCAUACUCGUACGGGAGGCAGCAGUAGGGAAUCUUCGGCAAUGGACGAGAGUCUGACCGAGCAACGGCGCGAGAGUGAAGAAGGUUUUCGGAUCGUAAAACUCUGUUGUUAGAGAAGCGGUAUCUAACCAGAAAGCCACGGCUAACUACGUGCCAGCAGCCGCGGUAAUUC
rnacentral:rRNA from 1 species